rnacentral:lncRNA from 1 species
GACACCGCAGCCGGUCCAGAGACAGACGCCACCGCUCCAAAUCCCCCGGUCAUCACAGAAGCCACAGACAUCGCAGCCACUCAAAGUCCCCAGAGAGGAGUUCAAAAAAGAGUCACAAGAAGAGUCGAAGAGGAAACGAGUGAUGUUUCUUAUAUAUCUUCCCUUUUUAUUUUUUACCUCCAAACGGUCAUAGAACUUGCUUCUAAAUCUUGUACGAAAUUUGAGUUUUUUUAAUUUUAAGUUUACAAGUCAUUUCCAUU